GACGAACGCUGGCGGCGUGCUUAACACAUGCAAGUCGAACGGAAAGGCCCUGCUUUUGUGGGGUGCUCGAGUGGCGAACGGGUGAGUAACACGUGAGUAACCUGCCCUUGACUUUGGGAUAACUUCCGGAAACUGGGGCUAAUACCGGAUACGAGCUCCUGCUGCAUGGUGGGGGUUGGAAAGUUUCGGCGGUUGGGGCUGGACUCGCGGCUUAUCAGCUUGUUGGUGGGGUAGUGGCUUACCAAGGCUUUGACGGGUAGCCGGCCUGAGAGGGUGACCGGACACAUUGGGACUGAGAUACGGCCCAGACUCCGACGGGAGGCAGCAGGGGGGAAUAUUGCACAAUGGGCGGAAGCCUGAGGCAGCAACGCCGCGUGCGGGAUGACGGCCUUCGGGUUGGAAACCGCUUUCGCCUGUGACGAAGCGUGAGUGACGGUAAUGGGUAAAGAAGCACCGGCUAACUAUGUG
rnacentral:rRNA from 1 species